UUCAGUUAUAAAUAGUGAAACUUGCACUACUAUUUUUGCUCUCUAAUUCAUAUGUACCUUUGUGAUGUUCAGCAUACUCAUAUGUGAUAAUAACCAUUGUACGAACAUGCUUAAUCAAAUCUCAAUAGUUGUCCUCGAUCACUUUUCCAAUUACAUGGCUCGCAUUUUCACCGCCGUCGUCGACGGCUCGCUGGUCCUCCGCCGUGACGGUUUCAGAGGCUUCUCCCAACCCUAUCCCUUUUCUCAUUCGACAAUGGUCUAGUUAGCGCCACUGUGCCGGAGGACCAUCUAGCCUUCUAGGCCUUCCACACAGUCGAUCCUGUGGAGCUGUUCAAGCACGCACCAUCCUUGAUGCCGACGUUGAUCACCCUAGGCAGACUACACCAACUAUCCCCUGAUAGAUAAGAAGGAGUCUAAGAAGAGAGCAACGGCCGGCUCACUGUGUGUCCAGUGGUUCGCCGUGGCGUUGGCACCCGUGCCAUUGCCUCUGCACUGGCCUAAGAUCGAUGAGAGACUGAUGCUGCUGCGAUGAUAAGCACCGGUGAUGUGUGUACUUGCACUGAGCCAACUAAAGCUAACAUUGAUUCUGUAUCUUCUUCCUUGGGUGCAAGCAUUGGGAGUACUAAAUGAAUCAAUGGUUGAACGACCUCAUCCAUCCACUGAAAGCAUUACAGCUCUCCACAUGCCAUUGAUUAAUCCAUCUGCUUUAGCUGCGUCAGAUACUCCAUGCUUUAAUAGUUCUUUAAUUGUAUUGUCGAUGAACAUACAUGUUAUUAAAUAUGUGAAUAUAGGACUUUGU